rnacentral:lncRNA from 1 species
AUCCUUGAGAAGCUUCAAGUGAUAGAUGAGUUCCUAUGAAACCUGUAGAAACAUGGCAGAGUUGAAUUACAUAUGUGCAAUUAUCUAUGGGUGUGCUACUCAAGUGCAUAUCACCAAUGAGAAGGAUUAUUUUGAUGCAUGGAAGUUGUUGACAUCAUUUUUUUACUUUGGUGGCAGCAGCUAGACCUGUAUGAUAAUAAAAGAAGAAAUGGGCGCUUGAUUUUCAACUCGACUGCUUUUGUAUGGACUAACAGGUGCAGGAUUUUGGGUCAAUGACCUUAAGUGAUAUGAACUGAUACACUGAAUUAUGUAGCUUGUGUUUAUGUUAGGUGGCUGUCACCUUCAUCUGAAAUUAGAGUCCUUCCUACCAUCCCCAUUAAUGUGGUUAGAGGAAUCAUAUAUAUUUCACAAUCGCAUUCAAUGCAAUGUACAACAUUAUAAGCAUACAAUUUUAUCUCAAUCAAGAUUUUUGAUUAAGAUUGAAUUGAUAUAUCACGUUGCCCGUUGACUUGCCUCAAGGGCAAUGAGUGCAUUAAUGAAGAAUGGAUGCAGAGCCU